rnacentral:rRNA from 1 species
AUUGAACGCUGGUGGUAUGCUUAACACAUGCAAGUCGGACGGUAACAGGAAGUAGCUUGCUACUUUGCUGACAAGUGGCGGACGGGUGAGUAACGCGUAGGAACAUGCCUUCUAGAGGGGGACAACUUGAGGAAACUCGAGCUAAUACCGCAUAAUACCUAAGGGUUAAAGGUGGCUUCGGCUGCCGCUAGAAGAUUGGCCUGCGUUAGAUUAGCUAGAUGGUGAGGUAAAGGCUCACCAUGGCGACGAUCUAUAGCUGUUCUGAGAGGAAGAUCAGCCACACUGGGACUGAGACACGGCCCAG